GUGGGGGUAGCUCAGCCGGAAGAGCACUGGGUUGUGGCCCCAGAGGCCGCGGGUUCGAGUCCCGUCCCUCACCCCA
rnacentral:tRNA from 1 species